CUUAGAAUCUGUAGGGCAUGGAGACUGCUCUGUGGCACAACUAGAGAAGGAGAGAUGUGGGGGACAGUUGGAAGAGUGGUAAAGCAGUAGAGGCAGAAUGCUCAUUUUGGUAAUCAAGGAGCACCAAAACAUAACAAAUGAAUUCUCCCCGAUACCUCCUAAGGAUGAUGACUUAGCACUCACUUUCUCUAGAAGUAAUGGCUACAGAGUUGAAGAGGGGCAGAUAAUCCAGGAUCUUCCCAGAAGAGACAUUCCCACAGCAGGCAUGUUUGAGACAAUAUGCCCACAAUGGAAAGCUUUUAGAGCGUCAAAAGUGUAGAUGAACCAAAUCAGAAUACAUCUCUAUGAAAAUGGAGACACAGGCACAUGGAAAAAGUUUAGAAAAAGAUCCAGGCAAGAGGUAAUCCCACUGAAAGGGCAAAAAUUUGCUUUUCUGAGUUCACAUCACAUGUGUGAGUAAAGCUAACGAAAGGGGGUGAGGUAUGUACAGCUGCAUUGGGAACAUGGCUAAUUCAAGGCAAACUCGUUUGGCUCAGAGGGAACAACCAGUUACUUCAGGCAAGCAGCAGAAGCCCACUUGUUAAUGAGCAGCUGGUUCCUGUUGAAUGCCAUCAGGAUGAUUCAGCCACCCACCAGGAACACCAGUAACAGCAAGUGCACGCACAGAAAUCUGCAAAACUUUCUUCUUUUGAUGCCAACACUAUUACUCUGGCAAAGUCAAAACCCUUUAUGGAUUUACCAGUUCAACUAAAUGUGACCUUGUUCCCCUCACAAAUACCAGCUCACUCUCAAAUAAACACAACUUCUGGCUGAUUAAAAUGCAACGUUCUUCCACAGUUGAGUGCACCCUGCAGUGAGUCCCUCCUCUGUGCUGUGUCUACAUUCUCUCCCUUUUUCAUUUUUUCACUGUUCAAUGAAACUUCAAAGGAUGAAUGAGAUCCAUAUACACUCAGAGUCCACCUUGUAUGUUGUCCUGCUUACUGCUGACCACAUGCAUUUAAAGUUAUGCCUCAAGUUGUUUUAUUGUUUCUAUUUUUAAGAAGUUUUCCAUUUCCACAGAAUGUGGUAAUAUGCCUUGAAAAACAGAAAUGUGUAGAUAAACUGUGCUGACCACAGACUUCAUUAAUACAUGAUUUCCAUGCCAUACUCUAGCCAGUUAAAAAUUCUAUACCUUCCUCCUUCAAAUCUAGACCAGAUUACAGACUUAAAGGAAGAAAAUGCCAAAGAUGACAGCUAGCUAUCAAAAAUGUUCUAGUGCCUCAUUUUCAGGUCUCCAAAGUAAAAUCUAAGGGCAUUCGACAAAGAUUCAGGUGCUCUCAAUAGCCAUGAAAAUAUAUGGCUGAAGAGGGAAUCUGUAAAUGUAAUGAAUACACAAUUGGCUUAUAACAGAUGCAACCAAAAUUAAAUUCAAGAUCUUGACCUACUCUUCAAAGUGAAAGUUUUUAGUUCAUGCUACAGAGAG
rnacentral:lncRNA from 1 species